rnacentral:lncRNA from 1 species
CGAGGAGAGACGGUUCGGGCAAUCCACUGCCGCCACCGCCAUCGUAUCGCCGCGGCGGCCCAUGGUAGCGCCUGGUGCGCCUCGGCAGGCCAUCGAAUUCACCGUCCCAUAGGAUUGCAUCGGUGACGGCGCGGCGCACGGUCAGUCGGCGGCGCCCUCGCGGUCCCUGGCGCGGUCCAAAGGCAAUGUCGAGGCCGUGCACGACGGUGAGGUGAUCGACGAGAGCGCGCUGUUCCUCACGCGCCGGCGGAUGGCCCGACGUCGCCUUUUGGCCCCGAUCGGCAUACUGCUGUAGGCUGACGAGCAUGACGGCGACGGCGCCAAUCCCAUCGUCGUCGUUGCGCGCCAGGAGGGCGUCGGCCGCGAGGCGGUUGGCCGUCUUUUCCAUGUCGUGCGAAAUGCGCUUGGUGAGUCGCCUCCACAAGGUCCACCACUCACACCAGAGGCCGACGCUGACGCCCACGGCGAGCGCCAGGACAAACCCGCCGCACACGAGACUCCAUUUCAUUGCGGCCGCGCAGAUCGAAUCGUCGCAGAGCAGCGGGGAAAUCAAGACCGCGACGACGAUCGAGGAAGCCAAGAGGCCGACGCCGACCAACUCUGCCAAGAUGAUGCAUGCCACGCGCUGGACAGCGCCCAGCGCGCGCAUGCGCCUCUGACCGGCAAUGUCGGCGAGAUGGCCCACCUCGUGGUACAAGAGCGCAAGCGCGUUGGGCAUACUCAGGCGCAUCCCCGGCGGAUGGCGCACCCGAAUCAGGAACCGGUCAAACUGGGCCGAGCCUUGCACGCGUCCCGGCAGGGUAUGAGCGCACUCGGCCACGUCGACGCAAAGGGCGGCGCGCGACACGCCCAUGUCUGUCGCCGCCUGGUCGACGGCGUCGUACACGACAUCGGCCGUGGCCACGCGCGCCUGUCGACGGCGGCGGACCUCGGCGCGGGCCGGCCCGGUCGAGACGAUGUCGCUGUGUCUUUUCUUUGUUGUUGUCCUUCUCUCAAGGGUCAUGGCGUGUGGGCGGCCUUUUUCGAGGUAGUUGUGGCGGCGCGACAGCACGCAAAUGACCCACCCUGCAAGAAAAAAAGGCUCAACCUAUCGCGAAAAGAAAAACGGGAAAAAAAAGACAAACAAUCCGGCCCAUGGCCAACGAC